CCGGUCUCUCCUACCAACUAUGUGUUUUCGGUAAACUGAAAAAAAUAACACAAAACAUGCCUAGCUUCCUGUGUACCCUAAAAUCAAUUUUCUCUCACAUGUCUUCUUCCUUGUGGUUCCCUCCACUAUCCUAGCGUCAUAGUCGUAACCAGGAACCAAUCGCACCCUCUGCUACCUUAAUCGUCCAUUUCCUGUUGCGAGGAAUCGCUGGGUUUUAUGUAAGGUUGUUCUCCUAUCCAGGUGUCAUUCUGCGAUUUUGUGCUUCUUUUUGGGUUGCUUUUGUUGUCCAGGUCUGAAACUGUGAUUUUGUUCGUCUUUUUCGUUUGCUUUUGUUGUCCAGGUUUGUAUUUUCGUCUCGGUGUCUGACCUUUCUUUUUUGCAUUUGGUUUCUCUUCAUUCUCUGUAGGUUUGUUGGUUUUUAAAAACGUCUGCUAACAUUUGUGUCUAUGUCUU